rnacentral:rRNA from 1 species
UACAGAGGGGGCAAGCGUUGUUCGGAAUUACUGGGCGUAAAGGGCGCGUAGGCGGCUCGUUUAGUCGGGUGUGAAAUCCCAAGGCUCAACCUUGGAACUGCAUUCGAUACUGGCGGGCUAGAGACCGGAAGAGGUGGGUGGAAUACCCAGUGUAGAGGUGAAAUUCGUAGAUAUUGGGUGGAACACCGGUGGCGAAGGCGGCUCACUGGUCCGGUUCUGACGCUGAGGCGCGAAAGCGUGGGGAGCAAACAGG